rnacentral:lncRNA from 1 species
GGAUUUAUAUGACCAUGUGGUUGAUGAACACAUUAUAUUUUGGAUGGCUAACACCUUGGUAUCUUUAGCCUUUUCUCAGUACAUGCAGCUAACAUGGGCUAGGGCCUUUCCGGUAGGGGGAUUCGGAACCAUAUAGCCCAUGGUUUUCUUUAGGUUGGUACGAGCUACAUAGUUCAGGCCAAUAUUUUAAACUAUCAUGUUUUAUGACCCUUGUCCCUAUCCCGACAUUCUAUAUAUAUGUAU